rnacentral:lncRNA from 1 species
GCGUGCUGCAUGGGCCGGGAAUCGAACCCAGGCCUCCUGCCUGCUUAAUGCAUCUUUCAAGGACCAACUAACUCAUGCUUAAAGAAGCACUUUUGUCCAGGUUUGGUAAGCACAGCUGUGGUCAUCAGCCCGGAAUCACUUCAGCUAAGUUCAUCGCUUGAACUUAUUUAACAUCACCCAGAUAGAAGGCAUGUUCAUUUGCAGCCCUGAGGGUGAAUAUGCUGAGUGGCAAGUGAGAAACAUCCACAUCUGGUUCACCCUUAAAUUGAAGGAAAAACAAAUAAGAAAAUAAAGAAGAAAAGGAGGCAUGAGAAGGAAGACAAUAAAAAUGGAGUGAUUCCAUCUUGGACUCUAGCCCAUCCUAGACAGCCCUUCCUGAACAUACUAAAUUACCAAAAAUGUCCACUCAGUUUCGAUCCUGGGAACACAGCUACAAACAAAAGACAGAUCAUCAGGGGCCAAGGAUUUUCUGUACUACACCUCCCCCUCCGCUCUGCUCUCCUCUUCAGCAACCCCUUAGAUUCUCCUCGCUUCCUGUUGUCUGAGUUAGCCAACUGGGAUAGAUUGUGAAUCUCCAAACCAGCCAAUGAGAAAGAGGUCAGCUGAUUUUCUCUCAGCAGAGAAAAAAGGAGCUAUCCUUCUUUGUGCUGUGUCUCCUACCUCAAGCUUGUGCCCUUUUGCAAAUGGAAAAAGCUUUGUCGAG